rnacentral:other from 1 species
GCGCCUCUGCGGUGUUCGUGUGCGGCUGGGUAUUAUCCUUGAGCCUAAUAACUUACCCCGGGAUCCGGAGCCGCUGCCUGUGUGCACGUCCGUGUAGAUGCGCGCCUGCCGCGCAUGCGGAAAGCCUGAUGGCAGCGUCGAGGUUCCCACUUGAACCGCUGGUUCAAGGUCGAAGGCCACCACGGCACAUGCGGAGCGCG